rnacentral:rRNA from 1 species
UACAGAGGGUGCAAGCGUUAAUCGGAGUUACUGGGCGUAAAGGGCGCGUAGGUGGUCGGAUAAGUUGUUUGUGAAAUCCCCGGGCUUAACCUGGGAACUGCAAGCAAUACUGUUUGACUGGAGUACUGUAGAGGGUAGUGGAAUUUCCGGUGUAGCGGUGAAAUGCGUAGAGAUCGGAAGGAACACCAGUGGCGAAGGCGGCUACCUGGACAGAUACUGACACUGAGGCGCGAGAGCGUGGGGAGCAAAC